AUUUGGAUUCAGCAUGAUGGGUCAGUUGGUGAUUCAAUGGAUAGACCUUUGAGCUGGGAAGCUUGUUUUCUCUUUAGACAGUACUAUGUACCUCAGGACAAAAUAAUUUUGAUGGAUGUGAGGCAUGAAUCUGGAUCUACAGAAGAAGAAGAUCAGAAAGUCUGCAUGCAAAUUGGCAUCCUGGAACCUAGAACUGUGAAUGACUUCUCAGGGUUUUGUUUGUUUGUUCGAGGACUGCUAUCCUCAUGUCAGAAAUGGAAUGCUCAGAGAGACUGAAGGUGUCUGCAACAGAUGUCCAUAUAUCCUGGAAGCUGACUGAAUUCUUAUCUGAAGAAGAGUACAUAAAUGUUUCAUGAUGAAUAAGCUACAGGAAAAUAUGAAAAGGGUGAAUGUUACUUAGUCACCAUGUGGUAUUUGUCUGGAUGCUCCAUAGCUUUGCAUCACUGUGUCCCACCCCUGUGUCUGACACAGUAAUAGGUUGCAGUGUCAACUGCGGUAAGAGACCGCAACUGAAGGUAGAAUUCAUUUUUUGAUGUGUCCCUGGUGAUAGUGAUCCGGGUGCCAAACACUGAGUUGUAGUAGGGUUUGCCUUCUGCAGCAGUACUCCCAAUGCCACCCAUCCAUUCCAGCUUUCCAUCUGAAGACUGUCGGUUCCAUCCCCAAUACCAACCACUCACUUCAACACCAGCAACAAGGCAGGUCAGCUUGAAUGAUCCUCCAGGGUUCACUGCUUGUGCGUCAAACUCAGUUAGUUCAAGAGUGGAAGAAACACCUGUAAAAGCGGGACAGAAGUUAGAAUUGCACACUGGAGUCUUUUAGUGGAGGAUUCACAGGCCUGGAUCCUAUGACAACUCAACAAGGUCAACAAAAGCAAUGUUUCAUUCUCCCCACAUCCCAACUGUCCCUCUUGGUGUGUCUUGAGACAUCUCUGGAUUUUGUGAAGAAGACCUUCUCUACAACAUAGGAUAAUAGAGAGCUUCUGGAAAAUGGAAGAGAAAAGCUCCAGACUGGUUGAAGCUCUACUUGAUUUUAGGUUAUGUCCUUGUGCUCCAGAAACAUGCCAAUCCCAUUCAACCCUGUUGUUUAGGAGAGCUCCAUGAUGUACCAGAGAGGUUCUUUUAUGGGAUGAGCAUCUGCAAUGAGGAAAAAAUGGGAGACUUUCCUUCUGUGAAUUUCCUUAUAUUUGCUUCUUGUAAGAUACAAUUCUAACAUUUUGAGGCAGUAAAUACUCACCUGGAGAGAUGCUCAGUAAGAGGAGAAAAAUGGCUGUGGAUUUAAUUUCCCCCCCUUUACUCCCUCCCUUCUUUCUCUUUCCCACAGAAUAAACAGAUCUCAGCCAGAUCAUGGAGGAAGGUUAUUAUAUGAUGCUUUUUUAAAAAGAGGCACUAAUGGGGAAGAUUUGCAUGGAUGAGCAUCCAAUUCAUUGAAACGUCUGCAUUAACGAUAAGCCCAUUUACAUAAAGCACAAAGCAGGAGUGCUGAGUUAUCUGGUUUUUGUUUUAAAAAACUAAAAAGUAAAGCAAAGGAAGGAGAAUUUACAUAUAUUUAGAGUAGAAAAAGAAAUUAACCUCUACUUUCACCCUGAGUAGCGCACAUCAGGGGUUCCAAUGUGGCCCUGGUUAUAAAUAACACAUAGUCCUAUCAUAACAGCACCACAAGAUGCUCUAAUUCAGUGCUUUCCAACCUUUUCUAUGCCCAGCACCGCUAGAUGUUUGAUUAAUGUUUUCACCCCAUAUGAAAAUAAUAUCACAUUUGAAGA